rnacentral:rRNA from 1 species
CACGCAGGGCGCGAGCGUUGUCCGGAAUUAUUGGGCGUAAAGAGCUCGUAGGCGGCCUGUUGCGUCCGCUGUGAAAGCCCGGGGCUUAACCCCGGGUCGGCAGUGGAUACGGGCAGGCUAGAGGUAGGUAGGGGAGAAUGGAAUUCCCGGUGUAGCGGUGAAAUGCGCAGAUAUCAGGAGGAACACCGAUGGCGAAGGCAGGUCUCUGGGCAUUAACUGACGCUGAGGAGCGAAAGCAUGGGGAGCGAACAGG